AGGAUCGUCCUUUGUAACUUUACUGCUACAACUACAUCAUGGUCGGACAUCAGAUGUACACCAACAAGUUUCACACACGACAAUGAACUAGCAAAUGGCGACUGAUGGCUGUUCACAAAACUCAAGCAACGUUGCAACACAUUUCAAAAUGUACGGCGAAUUCAAUUUAAGAAACAACUUUUUAGUUUUCUCUCGCACAGCAAGAUACUAUGCAAAAACCAAAUUAAAACAAGGAGAUGGCUGGUUGUCUUUCGGGUUUAUAAAGUUUCACAGAUUGGAUGGGAGAAUGGAAAGAUUUCUCCCUAGAUAACCCCACCAACCAGUACUGUCACGUCACUGCACAUACAGAGAAGGAAAUUCAAAAGUUAUUCAAAAUUGAAUACACAUUUUACCAUCAGC